rnacentral:snoRNA from 1 species
AGCCUCUUGAUGCUUACCAUAGUUUGUCUCCUUCUGGUGACUGUAUAGAAAAAGGAGAGAUAAACGUACUCCAUACAUGCUUCAGUCUGGGUGCUCUGCCUUGCAGUUUUCAGAUGAGAAAUAUGA